rnacentral:rRNA from 1 species
CCUACGGGAGGCUGCAGUGAGGAAUAUUGGUCAAUGGACGAGAGUCUGAACCAGCCAAGUAGCGUGAAGGAUGACUGCCCUAUGGAUUGUAAACUUCUUUUAUAUGGGAAUAAAAUGUUCCACGUGUGGGCUUUUGUAUGUACCAUAUGAAUAAGGAUCGGCUAACUCCGUGCCAGCAGCCGCGGUAAUACGGAGGAUCCGAGCGUUAUCCGGAUUUAUUGGGUUUAAAGGGAGCGUCGGUGGAUUGUUAAGUCAGUUGUGAAAGUUUGCGGCUAAACCGUAAAACUGCAGUUGAAACUGGCAGUCUUGAGUAGAGUAGAGGUGGGCGGAAUUCGCGGUGUAGCGGUGAAAUGCUUAGAUAUCACGAAGAACUCCGAUUGCGAAGGCAGCUCGCUGGACUAAAACUGACACUGAGGCUCGAAAGUGUGGGUAUCAAACAGGAUUAGAUACCCGGGUAGUC